GAGCUGCCAUCUUACAUUUACCCCCUUCACCAAUGUGGGUCUGGAGACUCUCGUGGUGACAUCAGCCUCGGAUGCAUUGCCAGCGGUUUUUCACCCCAGGAUGCCUUGAGCUUUAAGUGGAAUGACGGUAACGGUAACGCGCUGCCUGACUUCCAUCAAUACUCACCGGUCAUGGUCAGUGGAAGCACCAUGAUGGUCAGUCACAUCACUGUCAAAGCGGCAGACUGGAACAGUCAGAAAUCUUACAGAUGUGCUGCACAUCACCAGACCCUUGGAACUGAGAAGUCAGAGGCAUUACAGAAGCCAGACCUGUCCUGCCGGCCCUGUUUGGAUGUGACCCUGAAGCCCCCAAGAGUAAGAGAGAUGCUCAUAGAUAACAGGGCUGUGCUGGAAUGCAUCAUCACAGGAGAGGAUGAGGCAGUAAAAGAAGCUGAAGUGACCUGGAUGUUGGACAGUGUACAGGUGACAGAUAAGAUUACACAGACCGCUCCAGAAAAGGCAGAUCAUCUCUUCAGAAGGAGCAGCAUCCUGACUCUGGCAGCGAAGGACUGGGAAGGUGGCAAAACAGUUAAGUGCAGUGUGCAGCAGAAGGGUGGUCCUGCUACCACAAAGACCCUCAGUUUUGGACAAAAAGGUUUAAUGUCGCAUCCUACUGUCUCCAUCCAAACACCAUCUCCUGAAGACCUUAAUGGAAAAAGUAAAUUCUUCCUGCUCUGCCUGGUAACAGGCUUCUAUCCUGAGGAAAUAUACAUCAUGUGGCAAGUAAAUGGGACGCAGUAUGAGGAGGAGGAGGGUAUUACUGGAGAGCCAUUCUGGACUGGGGAUAAAUACUCUGUCACCAGUCUGUUUCCUGUCUCAAAAGUGGACUGGGACGAAGGCAAGACAUACUGUACAACUGCAGCGCCAGACAUGCAUAUCAGAAGGGAGUCGAGAUACCUGCAUUGAAAUCUAUGUCCAAAUCAAAGGUCUCCCCCCCAGAACAGGAAUCGCCCCCAGAUCCUGCACUCAGCUGUAAUGAGGGAGGUGAGGAAGAGGAUGAGUUCAGCAGCCUGUGGUCCACAGCCUUCUCCUUCAUCAUCCUCUUCCUCUUCAGCCUGGUCUACAAUGUCACACAGCACAGGGCCACACAGCCUGUUGUUCACAGCACUAAAUGAAAACUGAUAUAAUUACAUUGUUUUAUUCGGAAUUAUGAGCUGGUCAGCAAAUAAAAAAAAGUUAUCAAAAAGCAUUUUUAAAAUCGAAUUCUUAUUCUUUUUGAAACUUUUCAGACAAAGCAGUGAUUUUAACUUCAGGUACAAGAAAGAAAAAAGCAAGAAAAAAUAUUAUUUAUCAUUAUACAGAGAUUUUCCUUUGUCUGGUUACUUAUUGUUAAUAAUGUUUGCUAGUUGUCUUCUAAAUGUGAAUUCUCUAUGUAGGAGAUAAAUUAUAAGGUAUUAAGUUUGUUUUGUCUGUAACUGGCUACUUUAAAAAAAAAAAGCAGGUACAUAAAUUCUCACCCUUGGGUUGUUAUAAUCCUUCUUUUCAAUGUUAUUUUAAGUAUUAAACUUCAUAUUUAUUCUAUUUGAGCUAUUCUUUCUUUAGUUAGAUUACAUAAAUGCAACAAAAUACAUGUGCAGUCAGGGUGAAUGUCUACAUUUAACAAUAGUGGAUAGCAGAUGAAAUGUAAGCAGCUAAAAUGUAUACUCACAUUUAUGUAACUUAAUAUUGCAUCAUAAUAUUUCCUUUAGUGUUUUUCUCUUCAACUGCAGUAGUUAGUCUCAUUGUUAAUAUUACUAUUUUUUUUAAAUGUCUGAAAUUUGAAUAAUUGUCCUUUUUUCAGUUAAAAUAUCCCUGUACUCUAUGUCUCUAUAUAAAUACAUCUACAAAUAAAAACUGUCACCACAUCUC